rnacentral:rRNA from 1 species
CAGAUUGAACGCUGGCGGCAGGCCUAACACAUGCAAGUCGGGCGGUAGCACAGAGGAGCUUGCUCCUUGGGUGACGAGCGGCGGACGGGUGAGUAAAGUCUGGGGAUCUGCCUGAUGGAGGGGGAUAACUACUGGAAACGGUAGCUAAUACCGCAUGACGUCUUCGGACCAAAGUGGGGGACCUUCGGGCCUCACGCCAUGAGAUGAACCCAGAUGGGAUUAGCUGGUAGGUGAGGUAACGGCUCACCUAGGCGACGAUCCCUAGCUGGUCUGAGAGGAUGACCAGCCACACUGGAACUGAGACACGGUCCAGACUCCUACGGGAGGCAGCAGUGGGGAAUAUUGCACAAUGGGGGAAACCCUGAUGCAGCCAUGCCGCGUGUGUGAAGAAGGCCUUCGGGUUGUAAAGCACUUUCAGCGGGGAGGAAGGCGAUAAACUUAAUAAGUUUGUUGAUUGACGUUACCCGCAGAAGAAGCACCGGCUAACUCCGUGCCAGCAGCCGCGGUAAUACGGAGGGUGCAAGCGUUAAUCGGAAUGACUGGGCGUAAAGCGCACGCAGGCGGUGUGUUAAGUUGGAUGUGAAAUCCCCGGGCUCAACCCGGGAACAGCAUUCAAAACUGACAGGCUAGAGUCUCGUAGAGGGGGGUAGAAUUCCAGGUGUAGCGGUGAAAUGCGUAAAGAUCUGGAGGACACCGGUGGCGAAGGCGGCCCCCUGGACGAAGACUGACGCUCAGGUGCGAAAGCGUGGGGAGCAAACAGGAUUAGAUACCCUGGUAGUCCACGCCGUAAACGAUGUCGACUUGGAGGCUGUGGUCUUGAACCGUGGCUUCCGGAGCUAACGCGUUAAGUCGACCGCCUGGGGAGUACGGCCGCAAGGUUAAAACUCAAAUGAAUUGACGGGGGCCCGCACAAGCGGUGGAGCAUGUGGUUUAAUUCGAUGCAACGCGAAGAACCUUACCUACUCUUGACAUCCAGAGAAGACUGUAGAGAUACGGUUGUGCCUUCGGGAGCUCUGAGACAGGUGCUGCAUGGCUGUCGUCAGCUCGUGUUGUGAAAUGUUGGGUUAAGUCCCGCAACGAGCGCAACCCUUAUCCUUUGUUGCCAGCACGUAAUGGUGGGAACUCAAAGGAGACUGCCGGUGAUAAACCGGAGGAAGGUGGGGUGACGUCAAGUCAUCAUGGCCCUUACGAGUAGGGCUACACACGUGCUACAAUGGCGCAUACAAAGAGAAGCGAGCCUGCGAGGGUGAGCGGACCUCAUAAAGUGCGUCGUAGUCCGGAUUGGAGUCUGCAACUCGACUCCAUGAAGUCGGAAUCGCUAGUAAUCGUAGAUCAGAAUGCUACGGUGAAUACGUUCCCGGGCCUUGUACACACCGCCCGUCACACCAUGGGAGUGGGUUGCAAAAGAAGUAGGUAGCUUAACCUUAGGGGGGGCGCUUACCACUUUGUGAUUCAUGACUGGGGUGAAAUCGUAACAAGGUAACCGUAGGG